UGUCAUAUGAGAGAUGGAAGAGACAGAAGAAAUGGCAAUUCUUUGCAUAUGGUCCCUUAAGUAGGUGUUCCUCCAAAUAAGCCUGAAUCAGGAUCUCAAGACCCUGGCUACCUCUUCUGUUUUGUGUUUCUUUGUCUGAACACAGGGCUUCUUGUAGAAGACAACUGCCAGGAGGAUAAGCACAACUCCUGGUGGGGUAUGCCAGAAAAAAAAAAUGGACUCCAACGGAGCUGCUGGGACAGUGCGAAGCCAAGGUGAAGCAAUCUUGUGAUGUGAAGGUUACUGUUACAUCCAUUUUACAGAUGAGGAGCCUGAGUCUGAGAUAUUAAGUGAAUUUCCCAGGAUCACACACCAAAAAUUGUCUGAGGUGCUAAAGAAAAGCUACGUGUUGUUAUGAAAAUAAAAGAAGCACACAAAGGAUGGCUGAUUUAAGGAAUCAAGAGAUCUUAUUCAAAAUUCAAAAUUUUGUAACAUUCAAUGGAUUGGUUAUCUCUAAAUGCCAAGACUUCAGAUUGUUGGUCAGUGGAUAUUGGCAAGGUCUUGAAGGAGUUUAUGGGCUCUGAUUACGGAGUUGCUUCUGUAGCUGGGUAAUUCAAUAUGGUGACACAAAAAGUUCAAAGAUAGAUCAAGUGUUCUACACACCCUAAAUCCAGGCCUCCUGUUAUUGUAUGUAAUCAAAGCAAAAUUCAUAUCUGGAAUUUAUCCUAACAUGCUCCUUAGGAACAGAAAGAUAUACAUUAUUCAAGUAUAAGUUGCAAUAAACAAUAAAACAGUUACUAUUCUUACUGGAAUUUUGAUACUUGACUUCUAGCCACUAUGCUGCCAUUACUGUCACUAAUAUGUUCCUGUCAUUGUAACAAG